CCCCGGUAAACGGCGGCCGUAACUAUAACGGUCCUAAGGUAGCGAAAUUCCUUGUCGGGUAAGUUCCGACCUGCACGAAUGGCGUAAUGAUGGCCAGGCUGUCUCCACCCGAGACUCAGUGAAAUUGAACUCGCUGUGAAGAUGCAGUGUACCCGCGGCAAGACGGAAAGACCCCGUGAACCUUUACUAUAGCUUGACACUGAACAUUGAGCCUUGAUGUGUAGGAUAGGUGGGAGGCUUUGAAGUGUGGACGCCAGUCUGCAUGGAGCCGACCUUGAAAUACCACCCUUUAAUGUUUGAUGUUCUAACGUGGACCCGUAAUCCGGGUUGCGGACAGUGUCUGGUGGGUAGUUUGACUGGGGCGGUCUCCUCCUAAAGAGUAACGGAGGAGCACGAAGGUUGGCUAAUCCUGGUCGGACAUCAGGAGGUUAGUGCAAUGGCAUAAGCCAGCUUGACUGCGAGCGUGACGGCGCGAGCAGGUGCGAAAGCAGGUCAUAGUGAUCCGGUGGUUCUGAAUGGAAGGGCCAUCGCUCAACGGAUAAAAGGUACUCCGGGGAUAACAGGCUGAUACCGCCCAAGAGUUCAUAUCGACGGCGGUGUUUGGCACCUCGAUGUCGGCUCAUCACAUCCUGGGGCUGAAGUAGGUCCCAAGGGUAUGGCUGUUCGCCAUUUAAAGUGGUACGCGAGCUGGGUUUAGAACGUCGUGAGACA
rnacentral:rRNA from 1 species